UAGACAGAGAGAAAAGCCUGGCAGACAAUCGCGGACCGACUGAAAGCGUAAUGAUUGAAAAAUAUCUACUUACUAAGAAAGUUGUACUCUGUAAUUGCUUUUAAUAUGCUUGUUUUAUGUAUUGGUUGUAUUGCUGUAUCUGUGUUUAUGUGCUAAAUGUGCUGGUUUUACUGUAAAGUGUCUUUGAGUAGCCUACCAUGUAAAGCAUGUGUAAAUAAAAUGUAUUAUUAUUUAUCCCACUUUGCCUUAAAAGUGAGCAGAAGGAAUUAAUGGGAAAUGUCCCCUAAAGACUAGGCCUAAUUUCAAACCCUUAUUCACAAUGUAAGAAUAUGUUUUACAACCAUACACAAAUCUCUAUAAGCGGUGUCUGAUUCUAAAUGUAUUUCUACAAUUAUGUUCAUACAGAACAAACAUGACUGGAUAAAAAAGAUCCUGGCAACAAGUCAAGAUAAAAUAUAAAAACAUUUUCCAGGCUGGUAAGUGCCUUAACAGUUUGUAAAUGGUAUGUACAAAUUACUUACAAGAUGCCUGCUACAUAUUCUGCUACAGUCUGGUGGCAGGAGAGUAACUGUGUCGCUGGACACACAAGGACUGCAAGUACCUUGUAUGAAGAGGGCAGUUUCUGCAGGUGGUCAGUAGCUGUCCCACCUUGAAUCCCUUACCUCACAGGCCUUCCUUGGUUUAAAACACAGUUACUCUCCUGCCACCAGACAAAGAUCCAGUGAGUAUUAUUCAUUAAAAGCACAUGGCUUGGUACAUCCUGUCAACACAAAUUAUAUUCAAUAUGGCAGGGGGAAGGAACUUCUGCAGUAUGGGAAGGGGCUUCUGCAGCUGAUGAUGAGGAGACUGUGUCACUGUACUCCAGAAGGCCUGAGGAUCCAGACGCAGUAGGCUACAGCCUGACAGCCAGCCUGGCAACAUAGUAAGUAUGGGCUAAAGGAAAUCUAAAUCAUGCACAAUUCCUGCUGUGCUAAUCAAUGGGUGGUUUAUAGAAUUCACAAACUGUCAGAUGUCUCUACUCAACAUCUGAAAAAGCUAAUUGAGCUGGCAGAUGCACAGAUUGCUGUCGGUAAAAGUUUCCAGGAUCUAGACCUUGGUAUUGAAAUCAAGAAGAAAACACUGAGGAAACUGUAUCUGGAGAUAAAGAAA